rnacentral:rRNA from 1 species
GGGUUGUGAGGUUAAGCGACUAAGCGUACACGGUGGAUGCCCUGGCAGUCAGAGGCGAUGAAGGACGUGCUAAUCUGCGAAAAGCGUCGGUAAGGUGAUAUGAACCGUUACAGCCGGCGAUGUCCGAAUGGGGAAACCCAGUGUGAUUCGUCACACUAUCGUUAACUGAAUACAUAGGUUAACGAGGCGAACCGGGGGAACUGAAACAUCUAAGUACCCCGAGGAAAAGAAAUCAACCGAGAUUCCCCCAGUAGCGGCGAGCGAACGGGGAGCAGCCCAGAGUCUGAAUCAGCUUGUGUGUUAGUGGAACGGUCUGGAAAGUCCGACGGUACAGGGUGAUAGUCCCGUACACCAAAAUGCACAGGUUGUGAACUCGAAGAGUAGGGCGGGACACGUGGUAUCCUGUCUGAAUAUGGGGGGACCAUCCUCCAAGGCUAAAUACUCCUGACUGACCGAUAGUGAACCAGUACCGUGAGGGAAAGGCGAAAAGAACCCCGGCGAGGGGAGUGAAAAGAACCUGAAACCGUGUACGUACAAGCAGUGGGAGCACCUUCGGGUGUGACUGCGUACCUUUUGUAUAAUGGGUCAGCGACUUAUAUUCUGUAGCAAGGUUAACCGUAUAGGGGAGCCGCAGGGAAACCGAGUCUUAACUGGGCGUUAAGUUGCAGGGUAUAGACCCGAAACCCGGUGAUCUAGCCAUGGGCAGGUUGAAGGUUGGGUAACACUAACUGGAGGACCGAACCGACUAAUGUUGAAAAAUUAGCGGAUGACUUGUGGCUGGGGGUGAAAGGCCAAUCAAACCGGGAGAUAGCUGGUUCUCCCCGAAAGCUAUUUAGGUAGCGCCUCGUGAACUCAUCUUCGGGGGUAGAGCACUGUUUCGGCUAGGGGGUCAUCCCGACUUACCAACCCGAUGCAAACUACGAAUACCGAAGAAUGUUAUCACGGGAGACACACGGCGGGUGCUAACGUCCGUCGUGAAGAGGGAAACAACCCAGACCGCCAGCUAAGGUCCCAAAGUCAUGGUUAAGUGGGAAACGAUGUGGGAAGGCACAGACAGCCAGGAUGUUGGCUUAGAAGCAGCCAUCAUUUAAAGAAAGCGUAAUAGCUCACUGGUCGAGUCGGCCUGCGCGGAAGAUGUAACGGGGCUAAACCAUGCACCGAAGCUGCGGCAGCGACACUAUGUGUUGUUGGGUAGGGGAGCGUUCUGUAAGCCUGCGAAGGUGUGCUGUGAGGCAUGCUGGAGGUAUCAGAAGUGCGAAUGCUGACAUAAGUAACGAUAAAGCGGGUGAAAAGCCCGCUCGCCGGAAGACCAAGGGUUCCUGUCCAACGUUAAUCGGGGCAGGGUGAGUCGACCCCUAAGGCGAGGCCGAAAGGCGUAGUCGAUGGGAAACAGGUUAAUAUUCCUGUACUUGGUGUUACUGCGAAGGGGGGACGGAGAAGGCUAUGUUAGCCGGGCGACGGUUGUCCCGGUUUAAGCAUGUAGGCUGAUUAUCCAGGCAAAUCCGGAUAAUCAAGGCUGAGGUGUGAUGACGAGGCACUACGGUGCUGAAGUAACAAAUGCCCUGCUUCCAGGAAAAGCCUCUAAGCAUCAGGUAACAUCAAAUCGUACCCCAAACCGACACAGGUGGUCAGGUAGAGAAUACCAAGGCGCUUGAGAGAACUCGGGUGAAGGAACUAGGCAAAAUGGUGCCGUAACUUCGGGAGAAGGCACGCUGGUGUGUAGGUGAAGUCCCUGCGGAUGGAGCUGAGACCAGUCGAAGAUACCAGCUGGCUGCAACUGUUUAUUAAAAACACAGCACUGUGCAAACACGAAAGUGGACGUAUACGGUGUGACGCCUGCCCGGUGCCGGAAGGUUAAUUGAUGGGGUUAUCCGUAAGGAGAAGCUCUUGAUCGAAGCCCCGGUAAACGGCGGCCGUAACUAUAACGGUCCUAAGGUAGCGAAAUUCCUUGUCGGGUAAGUUCCGACCUGCACGAAUGGCGUAAUGAUGGCCAGGCUGUCUCCACCCGAGACUCAGUGAAAUUGAACUCGCUGUGAAGAUGCAGUGUACCCGCGGCAAGACGGAAAGACCCCGUGAACCUUUACUAUAGCUUGACACUGAACAUUGAGCCUUGAUGUGUAGGAUAGGUGGGAGGCUUUGAAGCGUGGACGCCAGUCUGCGUGGAGCCAACCUUGAAAUACCACCCUUUAAUGUUUGAUGUUCUAACGUUGGCCCCUUACCGGGGUUGCGGACAGUGUCUGGUGGGUAGUUUGACUGGGGCGGUCUCCUCCCAAAGCGUAACGGAGGAGCACGAAGGUUAGCUAAUCCUGGUCGGACAUCAGGAGGUUAGUGCAAUGGCAUAAGCUAGCUUGACUGCGAGCGUGACGGCGCGAGCAGGUGCGAAAGCAGGUCAUAGUGAUCCGGUGGUUCUGAAUGGAAGGGCCAUCGCUCAACGGAUAAAAGGUACUCCGGGGAUAACAGGCUGAUACCGCCCAAGAGUUCAUAUCGACGGCGGUGUUUGGCACCUCGAUGUCGGCUCAUCACAUCCUGGGGCUGAAGUAGGUCCCAAGGGUAUGGCUGUUCGCCAUUUAAAGUGGUACGCGAGCUGGGUUUAGAACGUCGUGAGACAGUUCGGUCCCUAUCUGCCGUGGGCGCUGGAGAAUUGAGGGGGGCUGCUCCUAGUACGAGAGGACCGGAGUGGACGCAUCACUGGUGUUCGGGUUGUCAUGCCAAUGGCACUGCCCGGUAGCUAAAUGCGGAAGAGAUAAGUGCUGAAAGCAUCUAAGCACGAAACUUGCCCCGAGAUGAGUUCUCCCUGAGACUUUAAGUCUCCUGAAGGAACGUUAAAGACGAUGACGUUGAUAGGCCGGGUGUGUAAGCGCAGCGAUGCGUUGAGCUAACCGGUACUAAUGAACCGUGAGGCUUAACCUUACAACGCCGAAG